UGUCUGUGGGUUUGGUUUGUAUUUCAUACAUUUUGUAGACAAUAAACUCUGUAGGUAACUAGUAAUAAUAAAUAAUAGUUUAAUCGUUGAGGAACUAACAAACCUACCCUACCCUAAGAUUAUGCAAGUUUUAAUUCUAUUGUAAGUUUUAGUCCUUAAUUAAAAUGGGUCAGACUAACGAAAAGUUGCUCAGUAAGGAAGAUUAUUCUAAUUUCAAUUAUUGAUGAUCAAAUUUUGCGCGCAGCUAACUAUAAUUUUGUAAGUGAGUAAUGCAACUGCAAGGGCAUGGAUGAGAGAAAACUAAGUUACAAUAAUUUACUGAGAUAUUCAAAUGGUUUGUCUAGAAGUUGGGGUGAUUCCCCCUGGAUUAACCUCAGAUUGGAUCAACAGCAGACUGCAAUAACAAAAAUUUUCAAUAAAUAGAGAUGUUAAAUUAA